AUUCCCCCAGAGAGUCUGUCUGCACUUGGUCCAAUCGGGCCAACUUCAGCGUCAGCCCACAUCUUUGCUCUCCUCCCAGGGUUUCUGUGGCCACAGCGCCCCUCCCCUUCCUUCCUUCCAUUCUUGCCACUCCACUAAGCCUAGUCUCAUACGCCUCAUACCUGGCUGAGCCUUGAAAUUUCCAGUUUCCCUGGGACAGGUCCAGGUCUUGGGUAUUGGCCUGCUCAACAACUCCAGUGCCGGGAUGAAGGUGUUGUGUGUCUAUAAGCAUGACUGAGUUAAACUGAACACUUCAUUACUGGAGCAUCGGUAAAGAGGUUUUAAGGAACUAGGUCCCAGCCAUCAUCAAGCUCUUCUCAGCCGCCACACAGUGCACCAAACACUGGGCGAGCAGGUUUUAUAGAUUGAACCUGAGGCCUGGCACAUGCUAGGCAAGUGCUGUACCGUGAAGUUGUGCCCCAAGCAUCUUGCUAGCUGACCUGCCAUCGUAGAAGUAUUUACACCAGGGAAAUUGGCAAACACUACCAUCAGGAGCAGAAGAGGUGCUGAGUGAAAGUAUAAGGAUUAGAUGAGGUGAGUGAGCGUGUAUUGUUGACAUGAACAUAGCCACAUCAAGGACCCCAAUGCCUCAGACUCAUGGGAAUUGAGAAGGCCUUCCUCUGGUCCUCGUGUGAAUGAUGACAGAGUAUACAGAAAACAUGAAGGACGACUCCCCUCUCCCAGAUGUUUACAGCCUGAGACUUUCCCCUGCAGAGACCUACUUCCUAUCUUGCUG
ensembl:lncRNA